AUUGAACGCUGGCGGUAUGCCUUACACAUGCAAGUCGAACGGUAGAGGGGCAACCCUCGAGAGUGGCGAACGGGUGAGUAAUACGUAUGCAACCUACCUUACAUUGGGGGAUAGCCUUUCGAAAGGGAGAUUAAUACCGCAUAAGACAGUAGCUGGGCAUCCAGUAGCUGUUAAAGAUUUAUCGAUGUAAGCUGGGCAUGCGUCCAAUUAGUUAGUUGGUGAGGUAACGGCUCACCAAGACGAUGAUUGGUAGGGGAACUGAGAGGUCAAUCCCCCACACUGGCACUGAGAUACGGGCCAGACUCCUGCGGGAGGCAGCAGUAGGGAAUAUUGGGCAAUGGACGCAAGUCUGACCCAGCCAUGCCGCGUGCAGGAAGAAGGCGUUCUGCGUUGUAAACUGCUUUUAUAUAGGAAGAAACGACCCUUGCGAGGGGCAUUGACGGUAUUAUAUGAAUAAGCACCGGCUAACCCCGUGCCAGCAGCCGCCGUAAGAC
rnacentral:rRNA from 1 species